AUACUUACCUGGACGGGGUCAAUGGAUGAUCAAGAAGGUCCAUGGCCUAGGUUAGCGACCUCCAUUGCACCUUGGAGGGGCGCUCGCCUAAGAUCUUCCCAAGUGGAGGAGUCUACGUCAUAAUUUGUGAUAGAGGGGGUACGCGUUCGCGCGGCCCCUG
rnacentral:snRNA from 1 species